AUUCCGGUUGAUCCUGCCGGAGGCCAUUGCUAUCGGAGUCCGAUUUAGCCAUGCUAGUCGUGCGAGUUCAGACUCGCGGCACCGAGCUCAGUAACACGUGGCCAAACUACCCUACAGAGACGGAUACCCUCGGGAAACUGAGGUUAACCCGUCAUACCGAUCUCAGGCUUGAAUCGCAGAGAUCACAAAACGCCCCGGCGCUGUAGGAUGUGGCUGCGGUUGAUUAGGUAGACGGUGGGGUAACAGCCCACCGUGCCCAUAAUCAGUACAGGUUGUGAGAGCAAGAACCUGGAGACGGAAUCUGAGACAAGAUUCCGGGCCCUACGGGGCGCAGCAGGCGCGAAACCUUUACACUGCACGCACGUGCGAUAAGGGGACUCCGAGUGCGAGGGCAUAUCGUCCUCGCUUUCGUGUACCGUAGGGUGGUACACCAACAAGGGCUGGGCAAGACCGGUGCCAGCCGCCGCGGUAAUACCGGCAGCCCGAGUGAUGGCCGAUCUUAUUGGGCCUAAAGCGCCCGUACCU
rnacentral:rRNA from 1 species